GACGAACGCUGGCGGCGUGCUUAACACAUGCAAGUCGAACGAAGAGCGAUGGAAGCUUGCUUCUAUCAAUCUUAGUGGCGAACGGGUGAGUAACGCGUAAUCAACCUGCCCUUCAGAGGGGGACAACAGUUGGAAACGACUGCUAAUACCGCAUACGAUCUAAUCUCGGCAUCGAGGAUAGAUGAAAGGUGGCCUCUACAUGUAAGCUAUCACUGAAGGAGGGGAUUGCGUCUGAUUAGCUAGUUGGAGGGGUAACGGCCCACCAAGGCGAUGAUCAGUAGCCGGUCUGAGAGGAUGAACGGCCACAUUGGGACGGAGACACGGCCCAGACUCCUACGGGAGGCAGCAGUGGGGAAUCUUCCGCAAUGGACGAAAGUCUGACGGAGCAACGCCGCGUGAGUGAUGACGGCCUUCGGGUUGUAAAGCUCUGUUAAUCGGGACGAAAGGCCUUCUUGCGAAUAGGGAGAAGGAUUGACGGUACCGGAAUAGAAAGCCACGGCUAACUACGUG
rnacentral:rRNA from 1 species